AAAGUGAACCCCGUUGAUUCUGGAACCGAAAGAUCCCUAUGAAAGUUCUUCUCAUGUUAGUUAUCAUUCAUCCCAAAUAAUCCACACGCCCCUUGUCUUGUUAAGCCUAUGUACAACUUUCUGAACAGUAUUUGCUACAAGUUAAAAAAGACCUCUAGCGUCUUUUAAGUUUGAUAAAAUCUGAGAAUCACAAGGAUGAAGAUAACGCUCCAAAGAAGAUCAGAUAUGCCUAUUUUCUAAGGAAUCCCUCCAGUUACCGACCAAAGAGAGUAUAUACCAACAAGUGGAAGGGAAGCAUAUGCCCAUUGGACUCAUACGAGGGGCACAAGGUUGUAUCUUUCAUGACACAUUCACAAGCAUUGCACGUCCAGUGUUUGGAUCCACCUCCACCCUGAGACCAAGUCCAGCAAGCUCGGGCAUUUCAACAGAUCCUUGAAGCUCCAAUUCAGCUACUGCUCGCUGAUUUUCUGCAUUCCCUUCCAAUAAGUUCCUCACAGACCAGAUGCCCCAUUCCCUUAAAAAUGGGUUAUCUUCAUCAGUGACACACUGUUGUAACAUCAGAAGAAUUCCAUUCUUCUGCCUAAUCUCAUCUUGCACACGCCUUCUUUGAAAUGCACAAUUGCCAAUGACCGCAACAAUGUCUCUCCGAAAUCCUUGGUAAGGGCAAGGUCUAAAUGAGCGCAAAGGAGCUGCAUCUUGGCCCUCGUUCAGUUUCAUGGCUUUCUUGAUAAUUGGUGGGGGCUCAAGGUCUCCAAGCACAGAUAAAAGCAAUUCAAGAAAUCCAUAGGAAAAGAGUUUAUCAACGACAUCCAUUUGAUGUUCACCAAGACCGUUCUUACAGUGCUGAGCACAUAUGUCUCUUAAAAUGGUAAGCGCAGCAGAACCUACUGGAAGGCCAGAUUUGGCUUUUGAGCUCGAGUCAAUGACCCCAAGAGA
rnacentral:misc_RNA from 1 species